rnacentral:misc_RNA from 1 species
GAUGAAGAACGUAGCGAAAUGCGAUACUUGGUGUGAAUUGCAGAAUCCCGUGAACCAUCGAGUCUUUGAACGCAAGUUGCGCCCGAAGCCACUAGGCCGAGGGCACGCCUGCCUGGGCGUCACACGUCGUUGCCCCCCCCCAUCUACUCCUUCGGGAUUGCGGGGGGCGGAUGAUGGCCUCCCGUGCGCCUAGCCGCGCGGUUGGCAUAAAUACCAAGUCCUCGGCGACGCACGCCACGACAAUCGGUGGUUGCGAAACCUCGGUUGCCCGUCGUGUGCGUUCGUCGCGCAUCGAGGGCUCGAAAAAAUGCUCGGCUCCGGCUCGGCUUUCAACGCGACCCCAGGUCAGGCGGGGUUACCCGCUGAAUUUAAGCAUAUCAUAAGCGGAGGA